rnacentral:rRNA from 1 species
UACGUAGGUGGCAAGCGUUGUCCGGAUUUACUGGGCGUAAAGAGCGCGCAGGCGGUCGUUCAAGUCGCGUGUGAAAGCCCCCGGCUCAACUGGGGAGGGUCACGCGAUACUGAUCGACUCGAAGGCAGGAGAGGGUAGUGGAAUUCCCGGUGUAGUGGUGAAAUGCGUAGAUAUCAGGAGGAACACCAGUGGCGAAGGCGGCUCACUGGACCGGAACUGACGCUGAGGCGCGAAAGCGUGGGGAGCAAACAGG